GAUGAUGUUGAUAAAAUCACAUUUCCUACUUCCUAACUUGUUAAUCAAGUCGAGGGUUCUAUUUCAAGAGUCUCGGGUGAACAAUGAGAAGAAAGAUAAAGAAAAGGAAGUUUUCUUGUUGUCCGCUGAACCAUUAGCGCUGGCUCUCGGAAAGCACCUGUGUUUCUAUUUCCUUAAAGCUCAUUCCUCCCAUAGGUAGUUUGUGAGAAAGGGUGAGGGGUCAAACCUCCAAUCACUUAUAUUAUUGUAGACUAUUAUUAUCAUGCUUAUAUAUGUACUUCUCUAAGCGUGUUAAGGGGACUCAUUGAUGACCCGGCCUACUCGAUUGCUGUAAGAAUGAGAACAGCCAACACCACGUGAGUUAUUAAAUGAACUCUUUUCUUUUAACGGACAACCCAAUAUCUCCGCUAGCAGACUUCGCUGAGAGUUUGCAUUCGCCAGUGUGCCACCAUUCCUUAUUCAUAAUGUACUUCACUUCUCUAUGCUUCAGGCAUUCCGCUUUCAUCUUGUGAUACCCCAGACCUGUUUCUUUGUAUCCUUAACUACAAAAGUAAGCACCUCCCCUAACUAAUUAGUUAGUAUCGAGAGACUAAAAAAUCAUU
rnacentral:lncRNA from 1 species